GAGGGCUAUACUUUCACUUUCUUAAAUAACAAAAUUUAUUUAAUUGUUGUUUCUUCCUUAUUUUUCAAGCCUUACAAUAAAUCAAUGGUAAAUUAACCUUGAACGAUGUUGUGUUGCGAUCGGAUGGGAAUGCAAUUUUGCUAAAGAUGCGUCACACGUUUUUUAAAUUCUUCCUUGACCAAAGGUACAUCUAGAUAUCUAUGGAUGUUCAUGGCCCUAUUUUGAUUGACUUCUAUAUGUUUACGAUCAGUAAGACGACUAUCUAGUUGAAUACCAAGGUAUAUAAUGUGAUCAGAUCGUUAGCGUCACAGUUCUUAGAUUGGGUUUGAGAUAUGUCAGGAUGAGGUGCCUGAAAUAGAAGCAUAACAAAAACUGCUAAAAGAAGCAUAUAGUAUACUUAACAAGAUACCAGAACUUGAGAUCAACCGCAC